UUCGGGUGAGUGUACCUUUCGAAUAAGCGCCGGCUAACUACGUGCCAGCAGCCGCGGUAAUACGUAGGGCGCAAGCGUUAUCCGGAAUUAUUGGGCGUAAAGAGCUUGUAGGCGGUUCGUCGCGUCUGGUGUGAAAGCCCAUCGCUUAACGGUGGGUCUGCGCCGGGUACGGGCGGGCUAGAGUGCAGUAGGGGAGACUGGAAUUCCCGGUGUAACGGUGGAAUGUGUAGAUAUCGGGAAGAACACCAAUGGCGAAGGCAGGUCUCUGGGCUGUUACUGACGCUGAGAAGCGAAAGCGUGGGGAGCGAACAGGAUUAGAUACCCUGGUAGUCCACGCCGUAAACGGUGGACGCUGGAUGUGGGGCCCAUUCCACGGGUUCCGUGUCGGAGCUAACGCGUUAAGCGUCCCGCCUGGGGAGUACGGCCGCAAGGCUAAAACUCAAAGAAAUUGACGGGGGCCCGCACAAGCGGCGGAGCAUGCGGAUUAAUUCGAUGCAACGCGAAGAACCUUACCUGGGCUUGACAUGUGCCUGUCGACUGCAGAGAUGUGGUUUCCCUUCGGGGCAGGUUCACAGGUGGUGCAUGGUCGUCGUCAGCUCGUGUCGUGAGAUGUUGGGUUAAGUCCCGCAACGAGCGCAACCCUCGCCCUGUGUUGCCAGCGGGUUAUGCCGGGAACUCACGGGGGACCGCCGGGGUUAACUCGGAGGAAGGUGGGGAUGACGUCAGAUCAUCAUGCCCCUUACGUCCAGGGCUUCACGCAUGCUACAAUGGCCGGUACAACGGGAUGCGACAUGGUGACAUGGAGCGGAUCCCUUAAAACCGGUCUCAGUUCGGAUCGUAGUCUGCAACUCGACUACGUGAAGGCGGAGUCGCUAGUAAUCGCGAAUCAGCAACGUCGCGGUGAAUGCGUUCCCGGGCCUUGUACACACCGCCCGUCAAGUCAUGAAAGUGGGCAGCACCCGAAGCCGGUGGCCUAACCCUUUUGGGAUGGAGCCGUCUAAGGUGAGGCUCGUGAUUGGGACUAAGUCGUAACAAGGUAGCCGUACCGGAAGGUGCGGCUG
rnacentral:rRNA from 1 species